rnacentral:rRNA from 1 species
UACGGGGGGGGCAAGCGUUGUUCGGAAUUACUGGGCGUAAAGGGCUCGUAGGUGGCCAACUAAGUCAGACGUGAAAUCCCUCGGCUUAACCGGGGAACUGCGUCUGAUACUGGAUGGCUUGAGUUUGGGAGAGGGACGCGGAAUUCCAGGUGUAGCGGUGAAAUGCGUAGAUAUCUGGAGGAACCCCGGUGGCCAAGGCGGCGUCCUGGACCAACACUGACACUGAUGAGCGAAAGCCAGGGGAGCAAACGGG